rnacentral:lncRNA from 1 species
GUAAAAACAGCGGAUUAGUGUCUCCGUGCUGCUAUGUCUUCUGGGAUCAGAAGGACCCAGCCUCCUGCCCCUCCCUGGGACGCGGAGCGGUGACCUCCAGGCGCGGUAAAUCGCCGCGGCGCCUGGGACCCAGCGGCCAGUGCACCCCCGCGGUAACACCUGCUGGCCCGGCACAGAAAUGUUCUCAUUCUGCGGGACGCCACCUCCCACAGAGGACUGCAAACGCCCCAGGCGGCCUGGACCCGGAGUGGAGCCUCCCGGGGUGGAGACUGGACGGGGUGGUGACGGGAUUGGACGGCUGGAGUGUGCGGUCACUAGGGGGUGGGGCUAGGGCGGGCCACGUUUGGACUGCGAGGCCCGGGCCUGAAAGGAAUCCCUCUUUGGCCGGCGCCACCCUGUUCAACCCUGA